GCUACGCCCGCCCACCACUCCAAUAUAAGAUGCAGCCAGGUGUCAGUCAUCCACCGGCUGCUUCCUUCACCUUCAUCUGUGAAUAGUAAGUUUGUUUCCUUGAUGUUGUAGUUGUUCAUCCCUCCUGUUUUACGUGCUCUAACACACUGUUCUAUGUUUUAGAAAACCCUGAAGCAACAGGUACUGUAGACUGUUUUUCCAUUUUUGUUACAAUUUGUAUUUAAUGUGUAUAGUUAUAAGAAAUUAUAAUGAGUGUGUUACAUGGUCUAGUCAUGAUCCUUGUCAGGUCUAAAAGCAAGUGAUUAAGUUGAAAAUGUCAAAAUUCAUAAUUUUUUUCCCCCCACAUAGUAUCAAGACGUGCAGGAUGAUCCUGACUGCGGGUAUCUGUUUGAUCGUCACCAGUUUGGCCACCAUCACGACUGCAAGUUCUGGAGUGGUUGAUGGCAAUUACUGUGCUAGAAACAGUGAUGGGUAUUACGCCAACCCAAACGAUGCCACUUGUUACUACAUGUGUUCCUGUGGAGGAACCUUCAACCGAUGCUGCCUGACAGGUUACAUCUUCCAAGAAAGCUCCAGCAAGUGUGUACCAAACCCAAACACAACCCCUGCUCCCACAGCUACAACUACUAGAUCUACAACUACACCGACCACAACUACUACAACUACUCGGUCUACCACAAGCAUUACAACUACUUCAAUCCCUGGUUUCUGCCAGGGGAUGAGUGAUGGAUAUUACGGCAACCCAAACAAUGACACUUGUUACUACAUGUGUUCCUGUGGAGGAACCUUCAACCGAUGCUGCCUGACAGGUUACAACUAUAAAGCUAGUUCCAGCAGCUGUGGGUGACUGUGAAGCAUUUCACAUAGCUUCAUCAAUAACAUAAUAUGUUAAAGUUUCCUAAAUUUAAUUUUUACUCAUAAUGAUUCUCCAUUGUGCUUGAAAAAAGGCUAAAUAACUGCUAUUUUGCGCUUCUAAAUUCCUUCUUUACAAUGAAAAAUCUAUUUACACAGCCAGUCUCUCCAUCAUUGCAACUUGUAUUGACAGUGAAUUGUUUUGUUUGAAUUUGUUUUCAGACAUCCAGCAUGUUGAACAUAAUAAAGGAUUAUUGCAUGAAAUUGUAUUUUGCUUG
rnacentral:lncRNA from 1 species